AUUGAACGUUGGCGGCAGGCUUAACACAUGCAAGUCGAGCGGAGAUGAGGUGCUUGCACCUUAUCUUAGCGGCGGACGGGUGAGUAAUGCUUAGGAAUCUGCCUAUUAGUGGGGGACAACAUUCCGAAAGGAAUGCUAACACCGCAUACGUCCUACGGGAGAAAGCAGGGGAUCUUCGGACCUUGCGCUAAUAGAUGAGCCUAAGUCGGAUUAGCUAGUUGGUGGGGUAAAGGCCUACCAAGGCGACGAUCUGUAGCGGGUCUGAGAGGAUGAUCCGCCACACUGGGACUGAGACACGGCCCAGACUCCUACGGGAGGCAGCAGUGGGGAAUAUUGGACAGUGGGGGGAACCCUGAUCCAGCCAUGCCGCGUGUGUGAAGAAGGCCUUAUGGUUGUAAAGCACUUUAAGCGAGGAGGAGGCUACUGAGACUAAUACUCUUGGAUAGUGGACGUUACUCGCAGAAUAAGCACCGGCUAACUCUGUGCCAGCCGCCGCCGUAACAC
rnacentral:rRNA from 1 species